rnacentral:rRNA from 1 species
UACGAAGGGGGCUAGCGUUGCUCGGAAUCACUGGGCGUAAAGGGUGCGUAGGCGGGCCUUUAAGUCAGGGGUGAAAUCCUGGAGCUCAACUCCAGAACUGCCUUUGAUACUGAGGAUCUUGAGUACGGGAGAGGUGAGUGGAACUGCGAGUGUAGAGGUGAAAUUCGUAGAUAUUCGCAAGAACACCAGUGGCGAAGGCGGCUCACUGGCCCGUAACUGACGCUGAGGCACGAAAGCGUGGGGAGCAAACAGG